AAAUUGAAGAGUUUGAUCAUGGCUCAGAUUGAACGCUGGCGGCAGGCCUAACACAUGCAAGUCGAGCGGUAGCACAGAGAGCUUGCUCUCGGGUGACGAGCGGCGGACGGGUGAGUAAUGUCUGGGAAACUGCCUGAUGGAGGGGGAUAACUACUGGAAACGGUAGCUAAUACCGCAUAACGUCGCAAGACCAAAGUGGGGGACCUUCGGGCCUCAUGCCAUCAGAUGUGCCCAGAUGGGAUUAGCUAGUAGGUGGGGUAACGGCUCACCUAGGCGACGAUCCCUAGCUGGUCUGAGAGGAUGACCAGCCACACUGGAACUGAGACACGGUCCAGACUCCUACGGGAGGCAGCAGUGGGGAAUAUUGCACAAUGGGCGCAAGCCUGAUGCAGCCAUGCCGCGUGUGUGAAGAAGGCCUUCGGGUUGUAAAGCACUUUCAGCGGGGAGGAAGGCGUUAAGGUUAAUAACCUUGGCGAUUGACGUUACCCGCAGAAGAAGCACCGGCUAACUCCGUGCCAGCAGCCGCGGUAAUACGGAGGGUGCAAGCGUUAAUCGGAAUUACUGGGCGUAAAGCGCACGCAGGCGGUCUGUCAAGUCGGAUGUGAAAUCCCCGGGCUCAACCUGGGAACUGCAUUCGAAACUGGCAGGCUAGAGUCUUGUAGAGGGGGGGGUAGAAUUCCAGGUGUAGCGGUGAAAUGCGUAGAGAUCUGGAGGAAUACCGGUGGCGAAGGCGGCCCCCUGGACAAAGACUGACGCUCAGGUGCGAAAGCGUGGGGAGCAAACAGGAUUAGAUACCCUGGUAGUCCACGCCGUAAACGAUGUCGAUUUGGAGGUUGUGCCCUUGAGGCGUGGCUUCCGGAGCUAACGCGUUAAAUCGACCGCCUGGGGAGUACGGCCGCAAGGUUAAAACUCAAAUGAAUUGACGGGGGCCCGCACAAGCGGUGGAGCAUGUGGUUUAAUUCGAUGCAACGCGAAGAACCUUACCUGGUCUUGACAUCCACAGAACUUUCCAGAGAUGGAUUGGUGCCUUCGGGAACUGUGAGACAGGUGCUGCAUGGCUGUCGUCAGCUCGUGUUGUGAAAUGUUGGGUUAAGUCCCGCAACGAGCGCAACCCUUAUCCUUUGUUGCCAGCGGUUCGGCCGGGAACUCAAAGGAGACUGCCAGUGAUAAACUGGAGGAAGGUGGGGAUGACGUCAAGUCAUCAUGGCCCUUACGACCAGGGCUACACACGUGCUACAAUGGCAUAUACAAAGAGAAGCGACCUCGCGAGAGCAAGCGGACCUCAUAAAGUAUGUCGUAGUCCGGAUUGGAGUCUGCAACUCGACUCCAUGAAGUCGGAAUCGCUAGUAAUCGUAGAUCAGAAUGCUACGGUGAAUACGUUCCCGGGCCUUGUACACACCGCCCGUCACACCAUGGGAGUGGGUUGCAAAAGAAGUAGGUAGCUUAACCUUCGGGAGGGCGCUUACCACUUUGUGAUUCAUGACUGGGGUGAAGUCGUAACAAGGUAACCGUAGGGGAACCUGCGGUUGGAUCACCUCCUUACCUUAAAGAA
rnacentral:rRNA from 1 species